rnacentral:rRNA from 1 species
UACAGGGGGGGCAAGCGUUGUUCGGAAUUACUGGGCGUAAAGGGUCUGUAGGUGGCCAACUAAGUCAAACGUGAAAUCCCUCAGCUUAACUGGGGAACUGCGUCUGAUACUGGAUGGCUCGAGUGUGGGAGAGGAAUGCGGAAUUCCAGGUGUAGCGGUGAAAUGCGUAGAGAUCAGGAAGAACACCGGUGGCGAAAGCGCUCUGCUAGGCCGCAACUGACACUCAUGGACGAAAGCUAGGGGAGCGAAUGGG